AGCAAUACAUCUCAAAGAAUACCAGUUAUGGAAAAGAUAACUGUCUUUUCUUCUUCAAAUGCUUACUCAUGUCCAUUCCAUAUUAGAUGACUCCAAAGCAGUACCCUUGAAGGUGGGUAGGAGUUAAUGGAUGUGUAGAUUGCAACAUGGCUCUGAACUCAGCAUCAUCCCUGGCCUGCUGAGUGAUGGGGUAAUGAGUGGUAAACGUGUAAACAGAGGACCACAUUGUGGCUCUACAGAUGUCCUGGAUAGGGAUGUGCGCCAGGAAGGCUGCCAAAGACUCCUGAGCUCUCGAGUGGGCUCUGACAAUCGGCGGCGGUGGAACCUCCGCCAGAUCGUAACAGCUCCUUAUGCAUGAGGUGAUCCAACUGGAAAUCCUCUGGGUGGACACCGGUAGGCCCUUCUUCCUGUUUGCUGUAGCGAUGAAGAGCCAAGUUGAUUUACAGAAGGGCUUGGUAUGUUCUAAGUAAAAAGCCAAGGCCCUUCAGACAUCCAGAGCAUGAAGUUGCCUCUCUUUACUGUCUUGAGUGGUUUGGGACAGAACACCGGGAGGAAGAUGUCCUGGUUCAUACAGAAGGUGGAUACCACCUUCAGAAGGAAGGCUGGGUGGGGCCACAGCUGAACUUUGUCUUUGCAGAAGACUGUGUACAGUAGUUCUGAGGUCAAGGCUUGAAUUUCAGAGACCUGUCUCACCGACAUCACCAUCACCAGGAACGCGACCUUCCAUGACAGGUGGGAAAAGGAGCAGGAACCCAGCAGCUCGAAAGGCGGGCCGGUGAGAGGACCAAGUUAAGGUCCCACAGUGGGACAGGAGCCCAUACCUGUGGGAAGAAUCUCUUGAGCCCUCUCAAGAAUCUGAUUGUCAUGUCAUGGGAAAACACUGCCUGUCCUUGGAUAGGCAAGUGAAAAGCAGAGAUGGCCACAAGAUGCCCUCUAAGGGAAGUGUGUGCCAGGCCCUGGUUCCUCAAAUGGAGCACGUAGUCCAGAACAGCCUGUAUAGAAGAACACGAGGCAGAGAUGCCAUGCUUGGAUGCCCAGGGGGAAAACCUCGUCCACUUGGCCAGGUAAGUCAGUCUAGUUGAGGGCUUUCUACUUCCCAGAAGGACCUAUUGGACUCCUUCCGAACAGGUCCUCUCCUCCGGGUUGAGCCACACACAUCCACACCAGGAGGUGGAGGGACUUGAGGUUGGAGUGUGGGAGCCAACCGUGGUCCUGUGACAGCAGGUCUGGUCGGUUGCGUAGGGGCCAGGGAGGGGGCGCUGACAAGCUCAUGAGUGUGCCGAACCAACACUGGAGAGGCCAUGCCGGGGCGAUCACGACAACCUGCACUUUGUCUCUCUUGAUCUUUGCCAGGACUCUGCUGAUGAGUGGAAUUGGACGGAACGUGUACAUCAGGCUUCCUGACCACAACAGGAGAAAGGCAUCAGAGAGGGAGCCUUUGCUCAGACCUUGCUGAGAACAGAACUAGUGGCAUUUCCUGUUCUGUCUGGUGGCGAACAAGUCCACUUGGGAAGUUCCUCACCUUUGGAAGAUCAUGCAGGCUACCUCUGGAUGGAGUGACCACUCGUGGUGAGAGAAGUAGUCCCUGCUGAGCUGGUCCGCCAGUGUAUUCUUGAUGCCAGGAAGGUGACAAGCUUCCAGGUAGAUUUUGUGGCUGAUGCAGAAGUCCCAUAGAUGGAGGGCCUCUUGACAGAGAGCCAAUGGGCGUGCUCCCCCUUACCUGUUGAUAUAGAACAUCGAGGCUGUGUUGUCCAUCAGGACCCAUACCACCUUACCCAACAGUUGGGGCAGAAAGACACCGCACGCCAGCUGGACUGCUCGGAGCUCUUUGCCAUUUAUGUGCUACUUCGCCUCCUCCGGGGACCACAUCCCCUUUGUCUGGAGGUCUUAGGUGUCCGACACCAACUCAACUGAGUGAUGGGGGUUGUUGAAUGGAACCCCUCCAGGACAGUCUCGUGAUUGGUCCACCAUUGCAGCAAGGUAAGUAUCGCCGGGAAUGGUAAUGAUCUUUUCCAGAGGGUCUCGGGACUGGGAAUAGACCAUUCCCAGCCAUUGUUGCAGGGGCCACAUCCAGAGCCAGGUAUGGUGGAUCACAUAAGUGCAUGCCGCCAUGUGGCUUAGCAGGCACAGAUAAACCCUGGCUGUAGUCAGAGGGAUCACAGAGACUUCCGAGAUGAGGUUCGUCAGCGUAUGGAACCUGUCCCAUGGCAGGAACACCCUGGUGCAGGUCAAGUUGAGGACCGUUCUGAUUAACUCUAUCCUCUGCACCGGCAUUAAUGGCAACUUUUUGUUGUUUACCAGAAGGCCCAGAGGUGGCACGUGGCUUGAAGCACCACAACAUCCCUUUGGACUUAAGACCUGGAACUACCCUCAAUCGUAAACGUACAGAUAGAUCGGGAUACCCCGGCGCCCGAGGUUUUCAAAGUUUGCGAGAACAGAAAAUGAAACAACGCUAGCCGAAGCAGAUGUUCCAGUACCAUCACUGGCAGCAAGAAGGAACUGAGGGUGGCGCCCCUUAUACCGUGCCAUGUGGGCGCCACUCUAGAGAGCGCCAGAGCUGGUCCUCUACAGAUACUGCUAAGGGAAAUACUUCCGGCACUGGUGUAUGUGGCGAGCACACACACCUAAAAUGGAAUUGACAUGAGCAAGCACUUGAAGAACUAGUUUUUCUUAGCUCCAAGCAGCAAAUUUUGGAGGACCUGAGUGAGUUUUUACUGUCCUUAUGCCAGUAAACUCUCAUUGGUCAAAAUGUAAGCUAGGCUAAGAACUACUAUGGAUGCCAAAUCCUGAAUUCCUUAAAAAGUCAUCUCUUAUCACCCAGUUUUUGAAGCAAAGCAGGUUUACUUCCUGAAUUGUUGGUCUCAACACCUCCAAUAGGAUUUUCAUAUGGCACUUAGAAUAUCUGCUUCCUCUCCUUUUAAAAUAAACAGAGGAUCCAUGACUGGGUUACAUGAAACGCACACAAGGGAAUGGUUCCAUUUUUCACAACUGAGAGGAAAAAAUACCUGGAGAAGUUUUCCCACCCACAGCCAGUUAUGAUAACUUGAGGAGUAAUUUUGUAGAUAUCUAGCACGCUAUUGAACCAAACAACUGCAUUCUGUCCUUACCUAUAAAGUAAAAAGCUGUAUUCGCUAUGAAUAUAGUGCAACCUGUCUAAAUUGCCACCCCUAUUUAAACAACGAAUUUGUCAAUCUAAUAAAAAGGCAGAACAGAAUCAUAUUUGAUCAGUUUAGAUUCACCCCUACAGACAAAGCUGUCUCUAAGAAGGGAUAGACAUAUAUGGAACAUCUUUCAGAGAUGGUGCUCGCAACAUUGGGAGCUCUAAGCAGCAAUAUUUUUGGCAUCAGCCCUGCUCGCCCCACACCACAUAAUAAAAAGCAAAUAGGGGGCCCCCCGAAGUUGCUCAGGGUCCUAAGCAAUUGCUGAGUCUGUUUAUGCCUAGUGCCGGCUCUGCCCCAAAACAGGCUUCCUAAACAAGUAUUUCUUUGGUGACUCCAGGCAAUAGCCAAAGAAGGUUACCUAAAGGCACACUGCACAGCACAAUAAGGGGUAAAGCAGCAUUAUUAGAGCAAAGUAUAGAAGACCUGGAAAAAUCAGCUAGGUUCAAGGUAAUUGGUGCCAUUUAACUGCUGCCUUAUGUACAUCAUGAUGUGGAAAGGAUGAUGAAAAUACAACAUUUAAAUGGGCCACUCUCUUAAAACAAGAGGUGUUUCACUAAGUGUGGUCUCUUGUCCAAGUUUCACUGUAUUUUUUUUUGUAGUAACUGACAUUUUUUUCCAAAUAUUUAUUAAGAGAAGUUGUUGAAGGCUAGGAGAGUCUGAGAUUCCAUUACACACAAUGAGUGGAGCAUGUUUAUUGAAAUGUCCAUUCUGCCUGAGAAGGAUGUCAUGGGCGAGGAGAAAAAAAACAAAAAGACCAAUAGGUUUUAGGAUCAGUAUCCCCUAACAGUCUAAUACCUUUGUUGUCUUUUACAGCUCUUAGUAUUUGAAAAGUUGUUCAAAACUGAAGCCUAGAGACCAGAAAAUUUCAAGCCAAUCUGUUUCAACUCACAGAAAGAAGGGUCAAAGUUUAACUUUAAGAUGCUCCUGAAACAAUUUAUGGAGGUUAGAUCAUUCAUGUUAAACUGGUCUUCACACGCAGGAGCUGUUCUUAAGCCACUGUGUGCAUAACACAUUCCUGAACUUAUUUGUGAGUGAAGAACAGCCUUUUCUAAAGACCCCAACACUGUCAGCUGUUUAAUUCUCUAAACACCAUAUGUCUGUUAAAGGGUGUAGCCAGUUUUGUACCUAGCAGGUUUGAACAACGUUUUGGUAGUUUCAUUUAAUCUCAUCAGUAUAGGGGGUUAUGAGGUCAGUCACCUCUGUCAAAGCAUUACAGUAUGGUCAUUGCCAAGUAUCCAUCUCAGCUCCUUUUCAAAGCAUAUAAAUGUAUUAGGAGUCAACAUGGACUAAUUUUGUUUUAUUACAUAUUUACUGUAUUUAAUAACCAAGGUGGCAAUGUAAUUAAAAUGCUUUUAUUUAUCCAGACAGUACACCAAAAUAGAGGUUGAAUUGUACUCUUCGCCACUAUGAACAGUAGAUGCACAUCCAAUCAGUAUUUAACCUCACACAUUUUUUAAUACACCAAUUGCCUAAAUUUGAACAUUCAAGUUUUGUUCACAAGGAUAAGAAUUAGGUAGAUCACAGUCCUAAGGAGCCUCACUUAGCAGUCACUCAAAACCCUGGUGCCAGAUUGUCCCCUCCUGCACAGAACUUUCUAAAAGGAAAAAAAAAAUGUUCCCGGGGCUUUCAUUUUGCAGAAAACCAAUGUCAAUCCUUCCUCAACAGUGGACAGGAGCUACCAUGAGGGGGGAAGAAGGUAUAGCACGCUGUUGAGCCCAGUAUUUGGAGUGCAAAUGCCAUGUCUCCCCUCUUCCUUACUAGCAUGCCUUGUAAUUAUACUGCCGUUCACUCCCCCAUUGCAACUGCACAAUCCCACCCUUUCUAGAGACAUAUAAGGUACAGAAUGGAAGUUAACUGUGACCAAAGUAAUAAUUCCUGCCACAUUUGCCACUUCCCAGGAGAGCAUGCCACUGACUGCAUCCCAUGUUUACCAUUCAUCCUGCUCAGCCAGACAUACACCUACAGUGUCCCAACCACAUAGCAUUCACAUGGUAAGGCUUCCAUCAGUUCAAGCAUUCAGUAUAAAUGCAGCUUCUUUCUUUAACUGUUACUUUUGGAAACCUCAGUGUGUGUUUACAAAGAGAUUCUCCAAAAGUAAUUCACAGUAGAUUAUGCAUGCAUGGCCCACAAAAAGAGCCUCUAUAACUCAAAGUUUUAAAAUAACCUCACAAAAAAACCCCACAAAAUUGAUUUCCUUCUGUGGCCUUGAAUAUUUAAAUAUGCUCACUCAAACCCACAAUCCCCAACUCUUAUUAUCAAGCGAUCGCUUACCUCUCAAGAUAAGGUAGCCUUGUGAGUUAUUGCCGUUACCCUGGCUGAACUCCAUAGCACCUUUGCCUAUCCGACUCUAGACCGGUCAUGAAUUUUUGAAUUUGCUCAGCUGCAACAAGGAUGAAAUGGUGUAAUUAAAGUAUUGUGUAGUUAGUAAAUAAAAAUUCUCACCCUUUGCUGUUGUGCAAAAUCUAAGAGUAGUCAUGACAGAUUUCAACUAACUUACAGAAAAAAAAUUCUGUUCCCAAUUAGAAGACUAUAUAGGAAAUUAAGUAUUUAUCAGUCCAGAUUGCCCAAAGUAACACUGAUUCCAGAAAGUGUCUAAUUCCCCAUGCCACCUGCGGGUAAGAUAUCCAAAGAGCUAUCAUGACACACUGAAUUACAGAACAGAGGAAACAGGUAAUAUAAAAACUAAGAUCUGCAUGGAGACCUUAAGUAAGACACUGUUGCUAUCUAUAUCUUCACAUAGACUGAGAAUGUCCUAGCAUACACUUUACCCCCAUAGAAAAAAUACUAGUCAGAUGUCACACUAAAUACCUAUUUGUAUUUCAGCUACUUACAACAGAAAAAGCAAUGGCCGUACGGCAAGUGCAUCAUAUACCAUCUACUUUCCCCAAUUUUCCAAACCCGGUGUCAAAACCUACCAUAAAACAAAACUGCCACUUUUCAGGGCCAGUGCUUUAUGUAUUUUUUGUAAGCAGUCUUUAAAAAACCCUCAAUACUAAAUAAUGAGUCAAAUUGUAGACACUCACAUUGUUUUACAUUGUAUAUCAACCAUUAGCUAUGUUUUAAUAAAAGUUGAAGAUCA